AUUGAACGCUGGCGGCAUGCCUUACACAUGCAAGUCGAACGGCAGCACGGGGCAACCUGGUGGCGAGUGGCGAACGGGUGAGUAAUGCAUCGGAACGUGCCAUUGAGUGGGGGAUAACGUAGCGAAAGUUGCGCUAAUACCGCAUAUUCUGUGAGCAGGAAAGCAGGGGACCGCAAGGCCUUGCGCUCUUUGAGCGGCCGAUGUCAGAUUAGCUAGUUGGUGAGGUAACGGCUUACCAAGGCGACGAUCUGUAGCGGGUCUGAGAGAAUGAUCCGCCACACUGGAACUGAGACACGGUCCAGACUCCUACGGGAGGCAGCGGUGAGGAAUAUUGGGCAAUGGGCGAAAGCCUGACCCAGCAACGCCGCGUGAGGGAUGAAGGCCUUCGGGUUGUAAACCGUCUUUUCUGGGAGAAGAGACGAGGACGGUAUCCCAGGAAUAAGUCUCGGCUAACUACGUGCCAGCAGCCGCGGUAAU
rnacentral:rRNA from 1 species